CGUCUCCGAACUAAUAUACGAAUUGCCACUUGAUUGCUGAAAUUUAUGACAGAGAGCCAUAGUGUGUCAAAGCUAAGGAACUGAGGACAUGAGUAUAAAGGACAGCAAAAAGAGACACAACUAGAUAUAAGUUCAUAUAGCUCUUGCAAGAACAAAAUGAUCGUUUAUAACAGAACUCACUUUUACAGAUAGAGCGAGUGAUAGGGACACAGCACCCCUUAAUCCAGACCACGUGAGUAUGAUGGAUUCCUUCCAAUCUAAGCCAUAGCCAAAACGACGUAGCAAUGGGUACAAAACUCCAAC
rnacentral:lncRNA from 1 species